UACGUAGGGUGCGAGCGUUGUCCGGAAUUAUUGGGCGUAAAGAGCUCGUAGGCGGUCUGUCGCGUCUGCUGUGAAAACCCAGGGCUUAACCCUGGGCCUGCAGUGGGUACGGGCAGACUAGAGUGCGGUAGGGGAGAUCGGAAUUCCUGGUGUAGCGGUGAAAUGCGCAGAUAUCAGGAGGAACACCGGUGGCGAAGGCGGAUCUCUGGGCCGUAACUGACGCUGAGGAGCGAAAGCAUGGGGAGCGAACAGG
rnacentral:rRNA from 1 species